AUUGAACGCUGGCGGCAGGCUUAACACAUGCAAGUCGAGCGGAGUGAUGGUGCUUGCACUAUCACUUAGCGGCGGACGGGUGAGUAAUGCUUAGGAAUCUGCCUAUUAGUGGGGGACAACAUCUCGAAAGGGAUGCUAAUACCGCAUACGUCCUACGGGAGAAAGCAGGGGAUCACUUGUGACCUUGCGCUAAUAGAUGAGCCUAAGUCGGGUUAGCCAGUUGGUGGGGUAAAGGCCUACCAAGGCGACGAUCUGUAGCGGGUCUGAGAGGAUGAUCCGCAACACUGGGACUGAGACACGGCCCAGACUCCUACGGGAGGCAGCAGUGGGGAAUAUUGGACAAUGGGGGGAACCCUGAUCCAGCCAUGCCGCGUGUGUGAAGAAGGCCUUAUGGUUGUAAAGCACUUUAAGCGAGGAGGAGGCUCUUUUGGUUAAUACCCAAGAUGAGUGGACGUUACUCGCAGAAUAAGCACCGGCUAACUCUGUGCCAGCCGCCGCCGCAGUAA
rnacentral:rRNA from 1 species